AAUCUGUUUAUGGGAUCUGAAAAAGGGUUCCCAAAAGGAGCUGUUGAACUUGACUCAGCAGGAUUACGUGAACCGCAUAGAGGAGCUCAACCAAUCGCUGAAGGAUGCCUGGGCCUCAGACCAGAAAGUGAAGGCUCUAAAAAUAGUCAUCCAGGUUAGCUCUAGUGAUCCCCCACCCCCACCCAGAAUUUCCUAUGUAAAAUUCCACUGUGAGACUUAGAGUUUUCAGGGGCCUACCUGCAGGGUCUUACUCUUGUUUUCUCAUCCCUUUCUUUUUCAUAUACUUCCUGUGAAAAGCCAUGAUUAUGAAUCUGUGUUUUUAUGAGAUGGCUAAUCCCAGGGUUACCAUGUGCAGCUGCACAGGUUGUGCACUGCACAACUCCAGGAAGCACUCUUCACCCUAGGUUACAGAACUGAUGAUACCCCAUGUGUUGUGCAGUACAUUAACCAUGGUGCAACCCCUGACACAUUUAUGAUUUGUACACACUAAAGAUUGAGCAACUUUCUUUCGGGAUUCCUUGACCGCAUUCGCUUGGUGUCUUUGGGAUUAAUGACGUGUCCCUAAUAAAUGAAUAUUUCAGACAUA
rnacentral:lncRNA from 1 species